rnacentral:rRNA from 1 species
UACAGAGGGUGCGAGCGUUGUCCGGAAUCACUGGGCGUAAAGGGCGCGUAGGUGGCCUGGUAAGUAGGGGGUGAAAUCUCGCGGCUCAACUGCGAGGCUGCCUCCUAAACUGUCAGGCUCGAGCAGAGUAGAGGCAGGUGGAAUUCCCGGUGUAGCGGUGGAAUGCGUAGAGAUCGGGAAGAACAUCAGUGGCGAAGGCGGCCUGCUGGGCUGUUGCUGACGCUGAGGCGCGACAGCGUGGGGAGCAAACAGG